CGUGUGUAAAGAUCUAGUUUUGAAAUUUCCAGAAAGAAAUGGCUAUAUGAAUCAAGUGAUAUUGUGAUUUUAUUCAUUCCUUUCCUGAUACAGUUUAUAACACUGUUUGCUGUUUUCUUUUUAAAGGGCCCACCCAAUGCUAAUGAAGACUACAGAGAAGCUUCUUCUUGUGCCGUGAACCUCGUUUUGAGAUUAAGAAACUCCAGAAAGGAACUUAAUGACAUACGAUUUGAGUUUACUCCAGGAAGAGAUACAGCAGAUGGUGUAUCUCAGGAGCUCUUCUCUGCUGGCUUGGUGGAUGGUCACGAUGUAGUUAUAGGUAAAUUGUUUUUUAGUAUGCACUGUCAUUUUGUUGGUAUAUAAAAUGGAAAUGUGUUUGGAAGCAAAAGUGUUCAUUAAGGAAUAAUUCACUCUGAAUAUUUGAAGAAUUCUUCUUGAAUUCUUAUCUUUUAUGUAGAAGUAUAUUUAAGAAUCAUAUUUGGACGGGCGCCAUGACUCAUGCCUAUAAUCCCAGCACUUUGGGAGGCCAAGGUGGGUGGACCACCUGAGGUCAGGAGUUAGAGGCCAGCAUGGCCUAUUUGGUGAAACCCUGCCUCUACUAAAAAUACAAAAUUAACCAGGCAUGGGUGGUGUACGCCCGUAAUCUCAACUACUCGAGAAGCUGAGGCAGGAGAAUCGCUUGAACCUGGGAGGCUGAGGUUGCAGUGAGCCGAGAUCACGCCAUUGCACAACAAAAGUGAAACUACGGCUC
rnacentral:lncRNA from 1 species